rnacentral:rRNA from 1 species
AACUAACUAGUCCACCCAUUAAAUCUCAAAACCCAGCCCAACAAUACCCCCACAAGACCUAAAUCUUUAAACUAAAACAUUUUAUACCCUAGUAAAGGUGAUUGAAAAGGAACACAAGGAACAAUAAAUAGUAGUACCGCAAGGGAAUGUUGAAAGAGAGAUGAAAAAGCAAAAAAGUUUUAAGAAGCAGAGAUGAGAUCUCGUACCUUUUGCAUCAUGAUUUAGCAAGAAAACCUAGGCAAGAAGCAUCUUAGUCUAGUCCCCCGAAACUAAGUGAGCUACUCCAAGCCAGCAUGACCAUUCAGUGCCAACCCCCCUCUGUAGCAAAAGAGACGGGAAGAGCUUCGAGUAGAGGUGACAAACCUAUCGAACUUAGUUAUAGCUGGUUUUCUGAAAAAUGAAUAUUAGUUCAGCCUCUAAACUUCUAAACUCUACAAUUUAAGCUGACCGAAAAUUUUGGUCAAAAUCUAUUAACCACAGGACAAAUAGAAAUUUAGAGAGUUAAUCAAAAGAGGUACAGCUCCUUUGAUCUGAGAUACAACUCCUACUAGUAGAAUAAAGAAAUGAACCAAGGACGGUUAUUGAUGUUGGCCUAAAAGCAGCCACCAAAUAAAGAAAGCGUUAAAGCUCAAAUAACUUUGCCUCCCUUAAUAACAAGAAACAAAUCUUAUUUCACUUCAUCUCAUCAGAAUAUCUUAUAUAAAUAUAAGAAAAACUAUGCUAAUAUUAGUAAUAAGAGAUUAGAUUCUCUCCUAGCACAAGUGUAACUCGUAAAUGGACCAACCUCCGAGAAUUAACGCCCCCAAUACCCAGAGGGCAAAGGAAACAAGAACAAAAAACUAGAAAACCCCCCUACCCUAACCGUUACCCCUACACUGGAGUGCACUAAGGAAAGAUUAAAAGAAAAAGAAGGAACUCGGCAAACAUUAGUCCCGCCUGUUUACCAAAAACAUCGCCUCUUGCUAAACUAAUAUAAGAGGUCGGGCCUGCCCAAUGAUAUUAAUUCAAUGGCCGCGGUAAUUUAACCGUGCUAAGGUAGCGUAAUCACCUGUCUUUUAAAUGAAGACCUGUAUGAACGGUCUGACGAGGACUAAACUGUCUCCUUUUUCUGAUCAAUGAAAUUGAUCUCCCCGCGCAAAAGCGGGGAUGACUAUAUAAGACGAGAAGACCCUGUGGAGCUUAAGAUAACUUUAUAUAUUUUAAACAAAGCCUAAGAAAAGCUUCAAGCCAAAAUUCUUAUUAAAGCAUCUUCAGUUGGGGCGACGAAGGAGAAUACAAACCCUCCACGAAGACGAGGAAUACUAUUUCCCUAAACCUAGAAUUAACCAUUCAAAGCAAUAGAAUAUCUAACUUCCAUUGAUCCAAUCCGUUGAUCAACGAACAAAGUUACCCCAGGGAUAACAGCGCAAUCCUCUUUAAGAGCCCCUAUCGACAAGAGGGUUUACGACCUCGAUGUUGGAUCAGGACAUCCUAAUGGUGUAGCCGCUAUUAAGGGUUCGUUUGUUCAACGACUAAAGUCCUACGUGAUCUGAGUUCAGACCGGAGCAAUCCAGGUCAGUUUCUAUCUAUAAAAUGUUCUAUUUUAGUACGAAAGGACCAAAUAGAAAAAGCCCAUGCUACAUGCAAGCUUAACUUCUAAUUAAUGAAACCAUCUCAAAU